UACGUAGGGUGCAAGCGUUGUCCGGAAUUACUGGGCGUAAAGCGUGCGUAGGCGGUUCGCUGUGUCCGAUGUGAAAGCCCCGGGCUUAACCUGGGAAUGGCAUUGGAAACUGGCGGGCUUGAGUGCGGCAGAGGGGGGUGGAAUUCCGCGUGUAGCAGUGAAAUGCGUAGAGAUGCGGAGGAACACCGAUGGCGAAGGCAGCCCCCUGGGUCGACACUGACGCUCAGGCACGAAAGCGUGGGGAGCAAACAGG
rnacentral:rRNA from 1 species